GCCGGGCGUGGCGGCGGGCGCCUGUAGUCCCAGCCACUCUGGAGGCUGAAGCGGGAAGAUCGCUUGAGCCCAGGAGCUCGAGGCUGCAGUGAGCUGUGCUUGCGCCACUGCACUCCAGCCUGGGCAACAGAGCAAGAUCCUGGUUCGU
ensembl:misc_RNA Metazoa_SRP Metazoan signal recognition particle RNA